rnacentral:rRNA from 1 species
GCCGCCAGGCGCAUCGCUGGGUAGCUACGUAUGGAUGUGAUAAACGCUGAAAGCAUCUAAGUGUGAAACACACCUCGAGAUGAGAUUUCCCAUUCCUUUAUGGAAGUAAGACCCCUGAAAGAUGAUCAGGUAGAUAGGUUAGAAGUGGCAGUGCGGUGACGCAUGAAGCGGACUAAUACUAAUCGGUCGAGGACUUAACCAA